CAUGAGUGGCGGACGGGUGAGUAACGCGUGGGCAACCUGGCCUGUACAGGGGGAUAACACUUAGAAAUAGGUGCUAAUACCGCAUAACGGGAGAAGCCGCAUGGCUUUUUCCUGAAAACUCCGGUGGUACAGGAUGGGCCCGCGUCUGAUUAGCCAGUUGGCAGGGUAACGGCCUACCAAAGCGACGAUCAGUAGCCGGCCUGAGAGGGUGGACGGCCACAUUGGGACUGAGACACGGCCCAAACUCCUACGGGAGGCAGCAG
rnacentral:rRNA from 1 species